GCCCCCGUAGCUCAGCUGGACAGAGCGACAGACUUCUAAUCUGUUGGUCGCAGGUUCGAGUCCUGCCGGGGGCGCCC
rnacentral:tRNA from 1 species